rnacentral:lncRNA from 1 species
UAAUGACAUGCACAUAGGUUUGCCUUUCUGAAUUCUUAUGUUGAAUCUACUGUUGGUUGGCACCUGCCACUAGCAUAAAUUUCUACUCUUUCAAUCAGUGGGACAAAUUCACAUGCCAGUCGAGGCUGAUUCACCUGUUUAGGGCUGUGAGUGAUUUGAAGAGGACUACCUUCUCAGCACUUCUUUGGCCCAGAGUCACAGGAACCCUCUUCUCAAGAAUGUGGUCCUGGGACCUCUGAGAGGGUCUGGAAUUAGGGUUCAGGUACCAUCCAUCUGUUACGUGCUUUGAAGAUGCCACUCCAUCUGUGGGAUUCAAUUUACAUAAACUGAAGACUAUUCUUCUGAGUUGAAGUGAGGAGAGGCAUCAAUCACACUGGAAAAUUAUUUGAUCUCCUGGAAGCAAAAAGUCCACCAUGAAGUUGUUCUUGCCAUGGACUUCUAGAGGAGCUGACUGUCCUUUGGGAAGCUACAAAUACAGCCUUAAAAUCUGUUAGCAGGGAAGAGAGGCUUUUUCUGAGUGAUCAGGUGCCUGGAGGCUGGGAGGCUUUAUCUGAACAAGAAUAUCUGCCUCAUCCUUGAAGACAGAGAGGGAAUCAUUCCUUUCCAUGUUUUUAUUGGAACAUUUGGAAAUCCUGAGAACCGGGAGUUCAUUUGUCAGAUAAAGGCUCAGGCGAAUGGGGAGCUAGACUAGAUGGAGUAAUUAUUGUGGGUAUAUUUUCCAAACUCCAAAGAGG